rnacentral:rRNA from 1 species
UACGUAGGGGGCAAGCGUUGUUCGGAAUUACUGGGCGUAAAGGGCGCGUAGGCGGCACGGCAAGUCGGGAGUGAAAGGCCUGGGCUCAACCCAGGAACGGCUUUCGAGACUGCCGAGCUAGAGUGCGGAAGGGGCAACUGGAAUUCCCAGUGUAGCGGUGAAAUGCGUAGAUAUUGGGAAGAACACCGGAGGCGAAGGCGGGUUGCUGGGCCGACACUGACGCUGAGGCGCGAAAGCCAGGGGAGCGAACAGG